UAAAAUUUUUAAAUCUAUAAUAUCUCGUGUGCAUACAGUGCACAACACCACAGAGUUGGCCGUCAUGCCUUACGAUCUGACAACUAGCAGGUGUAUAACAGGACUAUAAUGGGAAUAAUAAGAGUACUCAGUUGGCGUGGUCAGGGCGGAGCUAGGGUAUCCCUUCCUCACGUAACGAUUCGUUCCUUAGAGGAUUUGAGGAGGAUAUUUGAAGAAAUCUUUGCUAAAGGAGACUUGUCUUAAGCACCACUGCCUGUCACUAUGCUACACACACAACACAAUGUGAAUUAACUGCAGUGAAAACAUACCGGCCCAUGUACAGCAUAUUUAAAUGUUAAUGUUCUGGCCUGUACAAGAUUCUACUCUAUUAUGCAUAUUUUAACGGACUUUGAUCCCAGGUGCUUAAAGCCGCGGUUGGCGAUAGGAUUUAGGUUUGGGUUUCGCAUCGGGUUAGAACAGGUUCUCAAAAGGUUCUAUUUUGCAACGCUUUGUAAAUAAAAGUUCAUUUAUGAACAACUGUUUGUUUGAAUAUUUAAACCAGGGGUCUUCGGUCGUAACUGCAAAGGGCCGGUGGGGCUGCAGGAUUUCAUUAGAGCCAAACUGGAGGCAGGAUUGAUGGGUGAUUGACGGUGAACUGAUUGAAAAAGUGAAAUCAGGUGUGGCUCAUGCUGCAAUUUGGGGUUAUGGUUCAUGUUAAAGGUUUGGGGUUAAAGCUAGGGUUAAAGAUAAGGUUAGUUCUAACGUUAAAUCUUUGGGGUUAGAGCUAGUAUUAAAUGAUUAGGGUUAGGGCUAGGGUUAAAGUUUUGGGGUUAGAGCUAGGGUUAAACGGUUGUGGUUAUGGCUAGGGUUGAAGGUUUGGGGAUAGGGUUGGGGUUAGGGCUAAGGUUAAAGGUUUGGGCUAGGGUUAGAUGUUUGAGGUUAUGGCUAGGGUUAAAGAUUUGGGUUUAGGGUUAGGGCUAGGGUUGAGUGUUUGGGGAUAGGGUGGGUGUUAGGGCUAAGGUUAAAGAUUUGGGGUUUGGGCUAGGGUUUGAUGUUUGAGGUUAUGGCUAGGGUUAAAGAUUUGGGGUUUGGGCUAGGGUUUGAUGUUUGAGGUUAUGGCUAGGGUUAAAGAUUUGGGUUUAGGGUUAGGGCUAGGGUUGAAGGUUUGGGGUUAGAGCUGGGGUUAAAGGAUUGGGUUAGUCGUAGGGUUACAGGGUUGAGGGUAGGGCUAGGAGUAAAGGUUUAGAAUGAGGGCUAGAGUUGAAGGGUUGACUUAAAGCUUUCGACUUAGGGCUAGGGGUAAGAGUUUGUCGUUGGGGCUAGGGUUAAAUAUCUGGGGUUAGGGUUAAAGGGUUGAGGGUCGGGCAAAGGUUGAAGUUUUAGGUCUAGGGCUGAAAACUUGCACCAGCAGUAAAGCUUACAGAAACAGACUUGAGCAUGCUCAGUUUUCUCCUUAUUCUCCGAAUACAAUCUAUCUUUGUUUAUCUGAAGCAGGACGCCAUCCUUACAAAUGAAAACGAGUGUUUGCUUUGUGCGUGACGCUUAUUGCUUUUUAAUAUGGAGAACGUGCAUUAAAAAUACAUGCCAUUUUUCCUACACGCCGAAUAACAGCAGCGCAGGUCUCGUACCCCGGCACAACGAAGCCAAUAACGCAAACAAACUGAGCAUCGAGACGGAUUUAAUUACCGCGAAUGUGAAGAUGAAAGCAUGGCGCUGAAUAAAUAAACGCAACGUUUCCGAUAGGAAGAAAGAAUGCAGUAUAUACAGCAGACGGGCGGAAAGAUUAAUGACGGUUCUAAUACGCCGCGUAUCCCCCAAAACAAUAUAACCAGAGAAAAAACACACACGAUAAGAGUGUAUAUGAGAAAUAUCACCUUAAACAGUUUUUGCUCGUGCGUUAAGACUUUUGGACGCUACAGGAAGUGAAACGAUGAUUUCAGGUCUCUUUACUUUGUUACUACGUUUGUUAAUGUAUUAUUCGGAACUGAAAUUGUGUCUCUUUUUUUGUUUGUUUGUUUUUUUUUGUUCGUACACUCGUUCUGUCUGGAUUUUGUUUCAAUCAGGUUUCAGAGGUUCCCAUGUGCUUUUUAGGGAGGCGUGUAUUUAGACGUGUUUUAAACUAAAAACAGUGGAAGAUCAUCAGACGGGAGAGGUUUUCCUCCUUGUCUGCGUGUAUAUAUGUGUAUUAACUGCUUGAAGCUGAACAAAUUAGGCAACAUUGGAUUUUUUUCUUUUGCAUGUGUCUUUUUCUAAUGGACGAGACGAUUACGUAUCAAAUAUACUGAAGAAACGAAGCGACCCGCAUGAACGUGGUCGUUCUUUUCUUUUCUUUUUUUUUUUUUGUUUGUUUUUUUCUUUCUUUUUGUUUCUUUUUUUUCUUCUUCUUCUUCUUUUUGUUGGUUUCUUUUUUUGGUCCAGACAGUGUUCUGGAGUGUAUUAUACUCACAAUACUGAAGGAGACAAAGUAUAUAUAUAAAUAUAUAUAUAUGAAAUAA
ensembl:lncRNA